rnacentral:rRNA from 1 species
UGCAGUNNNNNUGAAGGCCGAGAUGAUGACUUCGGUUUGAUUUUCGGUUGGAAAGUGGCGAACGGGUGAGUAACACGUAGGUGACCUGCCUCGAAGUGGGGGACAACCAUUGGAAACGAUGGCUAAUACCGCAUACGCCUGGGGUUGUGGGAGCAGCUUCAGGGAAAGCUCCGGCGCUUUGAGAGGGGCCUGCGUCCGAUUAGCUAGUUGGUGGGGUAAUGGCCCACCAAGGCGACGAUCGGUAGCUGGUCUGAGAGGACGAUCAGUCACACGGGAACUGAGACACGGUCCCGACUCCUACGGGGGGCAGCAGUGAGGAAUAUUGCACAAUGGGGGCAACCCUGAUGCAGCAACGCCGCGUGGAGGAUGAAGGCCUUUGGGUCGUAAACUCCUUUUUUGAGGGAAGAGUAAGGACGGUACCUCAAGAAUAAGUCACGGCUAACUACGUGCCAGCAGCCGCGGUAACACGUAGGUGGCAAGCGUUAUCCGGAAUUACUGGGCGUAAAGCGCACGCAGGCGGUUGAUCAAGUCUGAUGUGAAAGCUCCCGGCUUAACUGGGAGAGGUCGUUGGAAACUGGUCAACUUGAGGUAAUGAGAGGGGUGUGGAAUUCCCGGUGUAGUGGUGGAAUGCGUAGAUAUCGGGGGGAACACCAGUGGCGAAAGCGGCACCCUGGCAUUGACCUGACGCUCAUGUGCGAAAGCGUGGGGAGCGAACGGGAUUAGAUACCCCGGUAGUCCACGCUGUAAACGAUGAACACUNGGUGUGGGUAGUAUCAAACCUAUUCGUGCCGAAGCAAACGCNAUAAGUGUUCCNCCUGGGGAGUANNNCCGCANGGCUA